rnacentral:rRNA from 1 species
GUCCAGACUCCUACGGGAGGCAGCAGUGGGGAAUAUUGCACAAUGGGGGAAACCCUGAUGCAGCAACGCCGCGUGAAGGAAGACGGUUUUCGGAUUGUAAACUUCUGUUCUUAGUGAAGAAGAAUGACGGUACCUGAAGAGCAAGCCCCGGCUAACUACGUGCCAGCAGCCGCGGUAAAACGUAGGGGGCGAGCGUUGUCCGGAAUGACUGGGCGUAAAGGGUGCGCAGGCGGCACGGCAAGCCGGCGGUGAAAUGGCGGGGCUCAACCCCGCCCAGCCGUCGGAACUGCCGGGCUAGAGUGGGCGAGAAGUGCGCGGAAUGCGUGGUGUAGCGGUGAAAUGCGUAGAUAUCACGCAGAACUCCGAUUGCGAAGGCAGCGUACCGGCGCCGGACUGACGCUGAGGCACGAAAGCGUGGGUAUCGAACAGGAUUAGAUACCCCCGUA